rnacentral:hammerhead_ribozyme from 1 species
ACACUGCUGAUAAGUCCCAAACAGGACGAAACAGCUGUUCAGUGC